GCCUGGCUGGCUCAGUUGGAAGAGCAUAAGACUUUUGAUCUCAGGGUUGUGGGUUCGAGCCACAUGUCGGGUG
rnacentral:tRNA from 1 species